AAAGUCCUUCGGCAAGAGUAUCUAGGGCCAAUACCUUCUUACCUAUUUACUCUCUAUAUUUAUAGUGUUAGAAAUAAAUGGCUAUUUAAUAUUUGGAAAAUAUGGGAAGGAAGUAGUAAUGAAAUGCAGAAAGUUAAAUUUCGUUAGAGUUAAAAUAACUCUGAUAUACGAUCCUGAUUGUACCACCAGCUCAAAAGUAAGUCAUUCUACAUCAGAGGAAUCCAAUUUGUGUAUGUUCGCGGUUGUGUGUCUCUGAAAGCAAAGCGCUGUAAGCGAGACAAAUUACUAAGAGCAACGUGUUGAAACAUCACUUCUACAGGCAAGGCAAAAUGCUUCGAGGCUACGUAUCGCGGAUCUUUGCAGAUCUAGUCGACCAAACUUAUGUCAUCACCCCCGCGGAAAUCAUAUCGCGUAAAAAGAAUAUGGGUUUCGUGCGUAAAAUUUUAUAAGCCGUUCGCCUGACAGCUUUUCAUGCCAGCACACCAGGUGCACGAGCACCACGUGUUGAGUUUUCGGUCUGAAUGGGGAAAACCUGACGCUUUAUUGUUUUGUUUCGGUUUUCAAAAACUAUCCGUGAUCGCUCGUACAGCCCGAUGGAGCCUCUGGAAACGCUUUUGACCGUUGGGAUCAAAGUGAGCAGCUCUAAACCUAUAGACGACCGUAUCUCUGCAUUGAUGAGCCGCGGCUACCUUCUCGCGAUAUCGAGGACAGUUGCUUCCAUGAUCGCACCACGAUUGCAAUAAAAGGCCAAUUGUAAGCAGCUACCAGGACACAGGUCGCGUAAUGCUUAACAAUUAGACACAGACAGUAAGUCAAUUGUAUGAAUGAAUGUAUAAACCUCAGUUGUGCAGGUUGGAAAUAGUAAUGUAUAUUAUAUAAUAUUGGUGCGGACUAGAAAGGGACUUGUUACGCCGAGAUACUGGCUAGGAGUAACGAUACUAUUACCUACAAUAAUAGAGUAGUACACAAAAGAAAUCUGCGAUAUUAAGCCACUGUAUCUAUUAGCUCGUGGG